CGUGUAGGCGGCCAGAUAAGUCCGCUGUGAAAACUCGAGGCUCAACUUCGAGCUGUCGGUGGAAACUAUCUGGCUAGAGUCCGGAAGAGGAGAAUGGAACUCCUGGUGUAGCGGUGAAAUGCGCAGAUAUCAGGAAGAACACCCGUGGCGAAGGCGGUUCUCUGGGACGGUACUGACGCUGAGACGCGAAAGCGUGGGGAGCGAACA
rnacentral:rRNA from 1 species